rnacentral:tRNA from 4 species
GGAGGGUUGGCCGAGCGGUUUAAGGCGCAGGUUUCGAAAACCUGUGAGCGAAAGCUCUCAGAGGUUCAAAUCCUCUACCCUCCGCCA